rnacentral:rRNA from 1 species
CGGUGAAUACGUUCCCGGGCCUUGUACACACCGCCCGUCAAGCCAUGGAAGCUGGGGGUACCUGAAGUCGGUCACCGCAAGGAGCGGCCUAGGGUAAAACCGGUAACUGGGGCUAAGUCGUAACAAGGUAGCCGUACCGGAAGGUGUGGCUGGAACACCUCCUUU